rnacentral:lncRNA from 10 species
ACGCGGAGGAGAAGGAAAGUCGCUCAAGCAGUGGACAGAGCGGAGAAAGCGACUUCGGGUCUGCUGGAGUUUGCUGGAGGUGCACUCCAGACUCUGUUUGCCUGCCUAUCACCAACAGAGGCUGCAGAACAGCAAAGAUUGCUGUCUGUAACUUCCUCUGGAAGCUUCAUCCCAGAGGGGCACCUGCCAGAUGCCAGCCGGAGCUCUCCUCUAUGAGUUCAGCCUGAGAAAACUCCUGAGCAUGUGCGAAAAAGAAAAGAAGAAAAGAAAAGUAAAGAAAAGAAAAAAGGAAAAAGGGCAAGCUCCUGAGUGGAUCUCUCAGGGAGCCACCAGACAGUGAAUGAAGGAGGGAAGAAAGGAGAGACAGAGAAAAUAUGGAUUUCCUCAUGGUUGUGAUUCCUCUUCACUCUUUUGAAUUUGGAAGGAUGGCAUACACAUCUGAAAAAUACCACUACUUCCUUCAUUGGACUGCAAGGUAUUUCUGUUUGGAAAAGUAAUGGAGUCCAGUCAACUUCAUUGAUCGCCAAGGACUGUCAAAAUUAUAAAACUUGCUGUGGAGCUCUGACAUGCCAGAAGCCGCUAGAAAAAGAAGUUUGACAUUCAGAAACUUAUCAAGAGGUUCUACUCUUUGGAUAGAGACCAAAAUCAUACUUUGAAAAAGCCUGACAGGUUUCUUCGGAAAAGUGGCCAUCCAUGGAAUGAAUGAAAUGUUCUCUUUCUAUUCCAGGGAUUGCAGUGGCAAAGCUAGGCUAGGUCUUGGAGGCUGGUGUAAGGCGAUGUGGGUGAAGGCAGGAGGCUGAUGGAAAGACUGGGGGGAAGAAAAGCCGAAAUGGAUUCACGGUGCCUUGGAUGAAGGACGAGAGGGGAACUGCAAGCUCCUUCAACUGGUUCUGUCCGGUGAGAAGUGAUCAAGCUUGGGCUGACAAGAGGCUCAGGGAGCCCUCACGUUCUUUCGCUUUUUUACCUGCCAAUCAAACUGCUACAAGACAACACCCUGAUCUGGCAUGGACAU